rnacentral:rRNA from 1 species
UACGUAGGGGGCAAGCGUUGUCCGGAAUUAUUGGGCGUAAAGAGCGCGUAGGCGGCCCGGUAAGUCCGCUGUGAAAGUCAAAGGCUCAACCUUUGAAUGUCAGCGGAUACUGCCGGGCUAGAGUCCGGAAGAGGCGAGUGGAACUCCUGGUGUAGCGGUGGAAUGCGCAGAUAUCAGGAAGAACACCAACGGCGAAGGCAGCUUACUAGACUGUAACUGACGCUGAGGCACGAAAGUGUGGGGAUCAAACAGG